GACGAACGCUGGCGGCGUGCUUAACACAUGCAAGUCGAACGGUGACGGAGAGCUUGCUCUCCUGAUCAGUGGCGAACGGGUGAGUAACACGUGGGCAACCUGCCCCAGACUUCGGGAUAACGCUUCGAAAGAGGUGCUAAUACCGGAUACGAACUCCUUGGGCAUCCUUGGAGUUGGAAAGUUUUUCGGUCUGGGAUGGGCCCGCGGCCUAUCAGCUUGUUGGUGAGGUAACGGCUCACCAAGGCGACGACGGGUAGCCGGCCUGAGAGGGCGACCGGCCACACUGGGACUGAGACACGGCCCAGACUCCUACGGGAGGCAGCAGUGGGGAAUAUUGCGCAAUGGGCGAAAGCCUGACGCAGCAACGCCGCGUGAGGGAUGACGGCCUUCGGGUUGUAAACCUCUUUCAGCAGGGAAGAAGCGAAAGUGACGGUACCUGCAGAAGAAGCACCGGCUAACUACGUGCCAGCCGCCGCGGUAAUAC
rnacentral:rRNA from 1 species